rnacentral:rRNA from 1 species
GUGGGGAAUAUUGCGCAAUGGACGAAAGUCUGACGCAGCGACGCCGCGUGUGGGAGGAAGGCCUUCGGGUUGUAAACCACUGUCAGAGGGGAAGAACACCGUCGGCCUGAACAGGGUCGGCGACUGACGGUACCCUCAGAGGAAGCGCCGGCUAACUCCGUGCCAGCAGCCGCGGUAAGACGGAGGGCGCAAGCGUUGUUCGGAAUUACUGGGCGUAAAGGGCAGGCAGGCGGUCCGUUAAGUCAUUUGUGAAAAUCCGGGGCUCAACCCCGCGAAAUGCAAAUGAUACUGGCGGACUGGAGACCGGUAGAGGCUAGCGGAAUUCCUGGUGUAGCGGUGGAAUGCGUAGAUAUCAGGAAGAACACCUGUGGCGAAGGCGGCUAGCUGGGCCGGGUCUGACGCUGAACUGCGAAAGCGUGGGGAGCAAACAGG